rnacentral:precursor_RNA from 7 species
AUUGCUGGUGAUGUCCUGGGCGUGGGGGUGGGGAGUGCUUCGUGCUUCUGGUUGAAGAGAAAAUGACCAUAGCACAGAAGCACUCCCACCAGCUUUGUCUGUGGCUUCAGGUGACCAU